rnacentral:rRNA from 1 species
UACAGAGGUCCCAAGCGUUGUUCGGAUUCACUGGGCGUAAAGGGUGCGCAGGUGGGUUGGCAAGUUUGAUGUGAAAGCCCCGGGCUUAACCCGGGAAAGGCAUUGAAUACUGCUGAUCUGGAGGAUCGGAGGGGGGACUGGAAUUCUUGGUGUAGCAGUGAAAUGCGUAGAUAUCAAGAGGAACACCAGUGGCGAAGGCGAGUCCCUGGACGAUACCUGACACUGAGGCACGAAAGCCGGGGGAGCAAACAGG